rnacentral:rRNA from 1 species
CUAUGCGCCUUGCCAGCCCGCUCAGGUGUGCCAGCAGCCGCGGUAAUACGUAGGGAGCAAGCGUUGUCCGAAAUUACUGGGCGUAAAGGGCGCGUAGGUGGGUGCUUAAGUCAGGUGUGAAAACUCCGGGCUCAACCUGGAGACUGCACUUGAAACUGGGUGUCUUGAGGGCAGGAGAGGAAAGUGGAAUUCCUAGUGUAGCGGUGAAAUGCGUAGAUAUUAGGAGGAACACCAGUGGCGAAGGCGACUUUCUGGACUGUACCUGACGCUGAGGCGCGAAAGCGUGGUAGCGAACGGG